rnacentral:rRNA from 1 species
UGCGUAGGCGGUUUGGUAAGUCAGAUGUGAAAUUCCUGGGCUCAACCGAGGAACUGCAUUUGAUACUGCCAGACUAGAGUACUGGAGAGGAGACUGGAAUUCACGGUGUAGCAGUGAAAUGCGUAGAUAUCGUGAGGAAGGCCAGUGGCGAAGGCGAGUCUCUGGACAGUAACUGACGCUGAGGCACGAAGGCCAGGGAGCAACG